rnacentral:sRNA from 1 species
CCUAAUUUGACAAGCCAGACCCAUUGACCCAAGGACACUUGAACCUUGGGAUGGGCUCUUUCCUUGCAAGUCAGAUUUCAUUUCACAGAUUCCUCUCUCUCUAGAACAGAAACCUUGCCCUAACUCAAGUGCUCUGACUUCUCUCUAGGUUUCCAGCCAUUUCCACCGAUUGAAUCCUAAUUUGGUGGUGUUUUCUUGUUCCUGGAGUCAAGAGCUACGAAACCAUCCGAUUGGUUUUGCGUUCCAGCGGGUUCUGUACAGUUUCGCACGGUGUAGGGGGUACUGUUAGAGCAUCUGUGAACUGUGUUGAGCAACCCACCAGUUUCAAAUGUAGAAUCUCUUGGUGAGAUUCUUAGUGU